GGGAAAUUAAGAACUCAAUCAAACAAGUUAGGAGAAGUUAGUGCAGGAGUUUGAGAACACUUACAUGGCCUACAAGUUCUGUUAGUGAGCAAAACAAGAGAUCUAUGGGAAUUAAAUCAGAACCAUUCUAUUACCAUCAGUGUAGCAGUAGCAGUGCCACAUAACUCUGCAUUAGUUAUUUUAAUAGGGCAUAACAACAGCCUUAUUCCCCAUUAUUUUUGAUAGCCAGAUGCACUAAUGAGCCCAAGCUGCCAACACAUUAAUAGAUCAGAAGAGAGAUUUACAAGAAAGGAAAAUAGAGAGAAUUAAGUUAUAAUUAGUGUAUGUCAAGGAAAGGCAAAGUGAUUAGGAAAAAAAACAUUACUUUAACUUUUGUGUAGCAGCAUAAGAAUUUUUAGGUCUAGUACUUGGAGCCUCUAAAAUAUAGAACAGCAAUUCUCUUCCCUCUUCUGCAGCUCACAUGGGAGGAACAGAAGACACCUCCAGCCCAGAGGCAUCAAAAACCCAUAACAAAGAAAUGGUGGAAAGUUCUAGACUCCAUUAGGGGCUGUAAAGUAAGGCUAAUAUUGGCAGGAGCAAAAGCCCAAAUGGAAAAAGUAUGCACUCACCAUCCUCUACAUUCAUUUCUGUGGUCCAACAGCAGCAGGAGCAGAUUUGAAUUAACACAUUGGGAGCUCUAAAGUUGCCUCCUCCAUGUUUUUAAUCUGUAUUGAGCACGCUCAAGCAUGCCUCAUAGAGAAGGUGAAAACCACUAUUGGCUGUGGACGGGAGGUGGGAUUACUGCAGGGGAGGAGCAGGGUACUAUAAAAGGAUCCUGGGGUAAAAAAGGAGGAGCAUUACUGGUGCUUGCUGGGAAUUGAUGUGAUAGGAGUGGGAUGGGAGUGGGAGUGGGAGUCUACAUACAGGAAGAGAAGCACUCACAUCUCUAAAAUGCUGAGUGUCCUAGUCUGAACUUUUGGCAGGGGAUGAAAACAGAGCCACAGUUCAUCCUUGUUAAACAUUAGGUUGUUUUAAUGUGUUACUUUUCGCCAGCAGAAUCAGAAAGUACGUUUGUUUUGUAAUUGACUGUGGUAUGUUGCUGCUAUACUAAUAAUGUGUCAGGAAAAAAGUGUGCUUAAAUGAUAGUUUUCAUUUAAUCAUUUUAUUCCUAUCCUGUAAAGUUUUAAGUAAUGGUUUGCACAAUAAUUAAAAUUAGUGUGUUUUAAAAUCAUGCUGUAAUUGAAACUAUAAUUUUGAUUAUUGCUAGCAAUUUGUGCAGUUAACUCAGGUGGC
ensembl:lncRNA